AACGAACGCUGGCGGCAGGCCUAACACAUGCAAGUCGAGCGAGGACUUCGGUCCUAGCGGCGGACGGGUGAGUAACGCGUGGGAACGUGCCCUUUGGUUCGGAAUAGCCCUGGGAAACUGGGAGUAAUACCGGAUGAGCUCUUCGGAGGAAAGAUUUAUCGCCAAAGGAUCGGCCCGCGUUGGAUUAGGUAGUUGGUGGGGUAAUGGCCUACCAAGCCGACGAUCCAUAGCUGGUUUGAGAGGAUGAUCAGCCACACUGGGACUGAGACACGGCCCAGACUCCUACGGGAGGCAGCAGUGGGGAAUCUUAGACAAUGGGGGAAACCCUGAUCUAGCCAUGCCGCGUGAUCGAUGAAGGCCUUAGGGUUGUAAAGAUCUUUCAGGUGGGAAGAUAAUGACUGUACCACCAGAAGAAGCCCCGGCUAACUCCGUGCCAGCAGCCGCGGUAAUAC
rnacentral:rRNA from 1 species